rnacentral:rRNA from 1 species
GACGUAGGGCGCGAGCGUUGUCCGGAUUUAUUGGGCGUAAAGAGCUCGUAGGCGGCUUGUCGCGUCGUCCGUGAAAACCUGCAGCUCAACUGCAGGCUUGCGGUCGAUACGGGCAGGCUCGAGUUCGGUAGGGGAGACUGGAAGUUCCUGGUGUAGCGGUGAAAUGCGCAGAUAUCAGGAGGAACACCCGGUGGCGAAGGCGGGCCCUGGCCUCGGU